rnacentral:rRNA from 1 species
CCUACGGGUGGCAGCAGUGGGGAAUAUUGCGCAAUGGGCGAAAGCCUGACGCAGCGACGCCGCGUGAGGGAUGAAGGUCCUAGGAGCGGAAACCUCUGUCAGCAGGGAAGAACGGUCACUGAGCUAAUCAGCAGUGAAUUGACGGUACCUGCAAAGGAAGCACCGGCUAACUCCGUGCCAGCAGCCGCGGCAAUACGGAGGGUGCGAGCGUUAAUCGGAAUUACUGGGCGUAAAGCGCUCGUAGGUGGUUUGUCAAGUCAAGGGUGAAAUCCCCGCGCUCAACGUUGGAACUGCCUUUGAAACUGGCAAACUGGAGUGUGUGAGAGGCUAGUGGAAUUCCCGGUGUAGGCGU